GAGGAAAGUCCGGGCUCCAUAGGGCAAGGUGCCAGGUAACGCCUGGGGGGUGUCACAGCCCACGACCAGUACAACAGAGAGCAAACCGCCGAUGGCCCGCGCAAGCGGGAUCAGGUAAGGGUGAAAGGGUGCGGUAAGAGCGCACCGCGCGGCUGGUAACAGUCCGCGGCACGGUAAACUCCACCCGGAGCAAGGCCAAAUAGGGGUUCAUAAGGUACGGCCCGUACUGAACCCGGGUAGGCUGCUUGAGCCAGUGAGCGAUUGCUGGCCUAGAUGAAUGACUGUCCACGACAGAACCCGGCUUA
rnacentral:RNase_P_RNA from 1 species